rnacentral:rRNA from 1 species
UAGGGAGUAUCGACCCUCUCUAGUGCCACAGCNAACGCGNUAGGUCAUCCGCCUGGGGAGUACGGCCGCAAGGCUAAAACUCAAAGGAAUUGACGGGGACCUGCACAAGCGGUGGNGCAUGCGGUUUAAUUCGAUAAUAAGCGAGGAACCUUACCAAGUCUUGACAUGUACCUGCAUACACCAGAGAUGGUGUAGCCUUCGAGGGUGGUACACAGGUGCUGCACGGUUGUCGUCAGCUCGUGCCCGUGAGGUGUUCACUUAAGUGUGAAAACGAGCGCAACCCCUAUCUUAAGUUACAAGUGUCUUAAGAAACUGCCGGCGUCUAAGCCCGGAGGAAGGCGGGGAUGACGUCAAAUCAGCGUGGCUCUUACGACUUGGGCGACACGCGUGCUACAAUGGGAAGUUACAAAGGGACGCCAAGGGGUAACCCGGAGCAAAUCCUGCCAAACCUUCCCCCAGUUCGGAUUGAGGGCUGCAACUCGCCCUCAUGAAGUUGGAAUCGCUAGUAACCGUAGAUCAGCCUCGCUACGGUGAAUACGUUCUCAGGUUUUGUACACACCGCCCGUCAAGCCAUGGAAGCGGGAAGCGGAUGAAGCGCGAUUUAUCGUUCCAAUCCGAAGCUCGUAACUGGGGCUAAGUCGUAACCAAGGUACC